rfam:Chlorocebus sabaeus isolate 1994-021 chromosome 16, whole genome shotgun sequence.
AGCACCAGGGCUUAGUUGGUUAAAGCACCCGUCUAGUAAACAGGAGAUCCAGGGUUUGAAUCCCAGCGGUGCCU